rnacentral:rRNA from 1 species
CGGCAAAAGCUCAAAUUUGAAAUCUGGUACCUUUGGUGCCCGAGUUGUAAUUUGGAGAGUACCACUUUGGGACUGUACUUUGCCUAUGUUCCUUGGAACAGGACGUCAUGGAGGGUGAGAAUCCCGUGUGGCGAGGGUGUCAGUUCUUUGUAAAGGGUGCUCGAAGAGUCGAGUUGUUUGGGAAUGCAGCUCUAAGUGGGUGGUAAAUUCCAUCUAAAGCUAAAUACAGGCGAGAGACCGAUAGCGAACAAGUACAGUGAUGGAAAGAUGAAAAGAACUUUGAAAAGAGAGUGAAAAAGUACGUGAAAUUGUUGAAAGGGAAGGGCAUUUGAUCAGACAUGGUGUUUUGCGCCCCUUGCCUCUCGUGGGCUUGGGACUCUCGCAGCUCACUGGGCCAGCAUCGGUUUUGGCGGCCGGAAAAAACCUAGGGAAUGUGGCUCUGCGCCUCGGUGUAGAGUGUUAUAGCCCUGGGGAAUACGGCCAGCCGGGACCGAGGACUGCGAUACUUGUUAUCUAGGAUGCUGGCAUAAUGGUUAUAUGCCGCCCGUCUU